rnacentral:tRNA from 1 species
GCCAGACUGGCUCAGUUGGUAAAGCACAUGACUCUUGAUCUCGGGAUUGUGAGUUCAAGUCCCAUGUUGGGUG